GCUCCGGUGGCCUAGUGGUUAGAGCGUCCGCCUCAGAUGCGGGAGGUCGUGGGUUCUAUUCCCAGUUGAGUCA